rnacentral:rRNA from 1 species
GAUGAACGCUAGCGGGAGGCCUAACACAUGCAAGCCGAGCGGUAUUGUUUCUUCGGAAAUGAGAGAGCGGCGUACGGGUGCGGAACACGUGUGCAACCUGCCUUUAUCUGGGGGAUAGCCUUUCGAAAGGAAGAUUAAUACUCCAUAACAUAUUGAUUGGCAUCAAUUAAUAUUGAAAGCUCCGGCGGAUAGAGAUGGGCACGCGCAAGAUUAGCUAGUUGGUGAGGUAACGGCUCACCAAGGCGAUGAUCUUUAGGGGGCCUGAGAGGGUGAUCCCCCACACUGGUACUGAGACACGGACCAGACUCCUACGGGAGGCAGCAGUGAGGAAUAUUGGUCAAUGGGUGCAAGCCUGAACCAGCCAUCCCGCGUGAAGGACGACUGCCCUAUGGGUUGUAAACUUCUUUUGUAUGGGGAUAAACCUACCCUCGUGAGGGUAGCUGAAGGUACUAUACGAAUAAGCACCGGCUAACUCCGUGCCAGCAGCCGCGGUAAUACGGAGGGUGCAAGCGUUAUCCGGAUUUAUUGGGUUUAAAGGGUCCGUAGGCGGACUUAUAAGUCAGUGGUGAAAGCCUGUCGCUUAACGAUAGAACUGCCAUUGAUACUGUAAGUCUUGAGUAUAUUUGAGGUAGCUGGAAUAAGUAGUGUAGCGGUGAAAUGCAUAGAUAUUACUUAGAACACCAAUUGCGAAGGCAGGUUACCAAGAUAUAACUGACGCUGAGGGACGAAAGCGUGGGGAGCGAACAGGAUUAGAUACCCUGGUAGUCCACGCCGUAAACGAUGCUAACUCGUUUUUGGGCUUUAGGGUUCAGAGACCAAGCGAAAGUGAUAAGUUAGCCACCUGGGGAGUACGCUCGCAAGAGUGAAACUCAAAGGAAUCGACGGGGGCCCGCACAAGCGGUGGAUUAUGUGGUUUAAUUCGAUGAUACGCGAGGAACCUUACCAAGACUUAAAUGGGAAUUGACAGCUUUAGAAAUAGAGCUUUCUUCGGACAAUUUUCAAGGUGCUGCAUGGUUGUCGUCAGCUCGUGCCGUGAGGUGUUAGGUUAAGUCCUGCAACGAGCGCAACCCCUGUCACUAGUUGCCAUCAUUCAGUUGGGGACUCUAGUGAGACUGCCUACGCAAGUAGAGAGGAAGGUGGGGAUGACGUCAAAUCAUCACGGCCCUUACGUCUUGGGCCACACACGUAAUACAAUGGCCGGUACAGAGGGCAGCUACACAGCGAUGUGAUGCAAAUCUCGAAAGCCGGUCUCAGUUCGGAUUGGAGUCUGCAACUCGACUCUAUGAAGCUGGAAUCGCUAGUAAUCGCGCAUCAGCCAUGGCGCGGUGAAUACGUUCCCGGGCCU